AAGCUGGUAAGACCCCUCAAGGACUAAGAGGUUGAUAGGCUGCAUGUGUAAGUGUUGUGAGACAUUGAGCUUGGCAGUACUAAUAGGUCGAGGGCUUGACCAU
rnacentral:rRNA from 1 species